UGGGGAAUAUUGCACAAUGGGCGCAAGCCUGAUGCAGCCAUGCCGCGUGUGUGAAGAAGGCCUUCGGGUUGUAAAGCACUUUCAGCGGGGAGGAAGGCGAUAAGGUUAAUAACCUUGUCGAUUGACGUUACCCGCAGAAGAAGCACCGGCUAACUCCGUGCCAGCAGCCGCGGUAAUACGGAGGGUGCAAGCGUUAAUCGGAAUUACUGGGCGUAAAGCGCACGCAGGCGGUUUGUUAAGUCAGAUGUGAAAUCCUCGGGCUCAACCUGGGAACAGCAGCUGAUACUGGCAAGCUUGAGUCGCGUAGAGGGGGGUAGAAUUCCAGGUGUAGCGGUGAAAUGCGUAGAGAUCUGGAGGAAUACCGGUGGCGAAGGCGGCCCCCUGGACGAAGACUGACGCUCAGGUGCGAAAGCGUGGGGAGCAAAACAGG
rnacentral:rRNA from 1 species